UCGCAAUCCGCCAACCGGUCCAGCCGUGUCGCGGAAGGUUUUUCAACCAGCCAACGUCCUGGAUACCAGGGUGAAAGGUGAGCG
rnacentral:ncRNA from 1 species